AUCGCGGUGACGUCAUCCGGGAAGCAUUUGGUUCGGGUUCGUCCCGCUGUAACAGAUGUCGAGGGCCGGGAAGUUGUCCCCCUGAGAAACGCCUCGCUUUUCCUUGUUUUUGUGCUGGGGGAAAAAAACCCACUGCUUUACUACAAGUUUCUUCGCCUUGAGCGCCUCAGCGAGCCCACAGCCAUGUCUUUCGUCCCAGGCCAGCCGGUGACUGUUGUUACGCAACGAAUUGAGAUCCAGAAAUUGCGGCAAGGAGAUAAUCUGAUCUUGGGUUUCAGCAUCGGAGGAGGGAUUGAUCAGGACCCUGCGCAGAAUCCUUUCUCUGAGGACAAGGCUGAUAAAGGCAUCUAUGUGACCCGGAUAUCACCAGGAGGACCAGCUGAUGUUGCAGGUUUGAUGAUGGGAGACAAAAUAAUGCAGGUGAAUGGUUGGGAUAUGACCAUGAUGACUCAUGACCAGGCUCGCAAACGACUCACAAAGAAGAACGAGGAUGUGGUGCGACUUCUUGUGACCAGAAAGUCUUUAGAAGAAGCUGUCAGACACUCGAUAGGCUCUUACUCCAAACAGUGACGUGGUGAUACUACAGCUCAUAAAGAUGCAAUAUCAAGGGACUGAACACACACACACACACACACACACACACACACACACACACACACACAGUAUAUUGACUCCCCAACAUUCAGAGGGUGUUUGAAGCGUGGCCUUUAUAAAUACAUCAGUGCAAAAAAAAAAAACCCACUAAAUACUGUCUUCCAAAGCACAGAGUUCAAAAUAUGCUGAAUCUGGAUGCGUCCGUUCUUACAUAUUUAGUUUUGUUCUUAGAAAUACUAAUUACCCCUGUUCCUAUUGAUUUAGCAUAUUCAAAUGGAACUGACAAAAGAGGUAAACUAGGUGAAAAGCUGAGGCAACUACUGACUUUUAAAAAGUUCAGAUUUUGCUGUGGGACAACUGCGGAGGAUAAAACAAUGUCAGGCUGGGCUGAAAUUAAUUUCUGAAAUGUGCUUUUUAGAUAGAUUCUAGUCUGAAAGAUCUUUGUCACACCUCUAUCCGUUGAGAGAGGAGAUAUGGGAACAAUGAUAUCAGGUGUUGGGAUCAUUCCUCGGAAACGUUUUUAAUCCUUUUUCACCUGUACUUGACCAAAGUGGGACACUGGAUACACCAACAACAGCUCACUGCUGUUGAUUGUCUCUUUCACGUUAAGAUUUGCCUUUCAUUUAAAGGAGAGAACCAAUGUUUUGUUUUCAAAAGUCACAGCAUUCAAAGCCAAAGUGAAAGUUCAUGUCCUGCCACACAGUCAGCAUAAUGUAAUACAGUGUUUUUUGUUCUACGAUAUUUUUUCCCCUUAAAUAACGGUACAACAUAUAGUACAAACUAUUGUAAACUACACUGUUUUGAUUUAUACUUUUUCACUAAUUAUCAGUUAACUGAUGCAUGUCUCUAAUCUGUUAUUUUUUUGUUGAUUUUAUGCAGUAAAGAGUCAGCAUUUCUCUGCAUCUGCUAAUCUGAGAUGUUUUUCUUUGUUUCUUUUCCUAUGAUGCUCCACAAUCGGGCUCAGUGGCUGAAACUUGUUUUGGAAGAUGCCUAUUAUGCAAAAUAUGGUCAUUUUAUUCUUUUACUGAUUAUCACCACUUCUGCUGAACACUGUAAGAGAAAAAAUGAUCCAUCAUUAAUUUGUUGUUUUUGCUGGAAGAACAGUGUCACACUGGAAUCUCAUUCACAUUGAUUGUAAAAUGUUUUGCAGGUCUUCAUUGCCAAUGACCAGAAUGCAAGCUGUAAACCUAAACCAAACAACAAUGAAUGUUUAAUUAUUUGAACUGUGCAUCUUUAAAUGAACACUCCAUACCACUAACUAAUGACUUGUUUCUUUUUUUAAGAGACUUUAAAUCCUAUCAUGCAGUUCUUUUACUUGUGAGGGAAUGCAGACUGCAUAAAAGCACCUACCAAUGGAGUUCAUGACAUAUUGUCUCGACCCAUCACCACCACGCAAAGCACUGUUUUUGUUUUGUUUUGUUUUGUUUUUUCCUCUGUACUGUUCAAAAUUACUAAUAUUAUAUAUAGGAUGUCGUUGCAUUUUGCAGUCAUUGCAUGCUGGCCAAACAGUGACGAGUCAGCCUGACAAUAACUAGACUGAGAAUAACUGUGCUGUUCCCAGAAUGAUUCCUAGAGUCACCAGACCACAGAAAGUAACUUGUAGUGGAACUACAACAAUAGUGACUGUGUGACCUGGUGGGAUCUUGUCAUACAAACAAGAAACAAACAAAAGUUGUUUCAUUAACAACAAGAACAAGACAUGUGCACGGACAAGUUGUAUUCUACAGGUUCACUCAAGUACAAGUCUUUUUUAUUAUCUUAAGGCUCUUUCUCAUAUUGGUUUACAAGAUGUUUCAUGUACUGUAAGUGUUCAAGAGAGGACUUUCAUUUAAGGACAUUCUGAAUUUUCUCCUUAAAACAACAACAAAUGUCCUUUUAUUUUGGUGUAAGAGCAAUAAAUGUAUGCAUACUGAUGA